GAAGGUAUAGCUCAGUGGUAGAGCCUGUGCUUAGCAUGCAUGAGGUGCUGGGUUCAAUCCCCAAUACCUCCU
rfam:Camelus ferus unplaced genomic scaffold scaffold1541, whole genome shotgun sequence.